ACUGUGACUUAUGCAACUCUGGCCUCACUUGCAAAGAGCACACUGUUUCCACGGGUUUUUCCUCUAGUUUCCUUCCCAGGCUCAUGACACAGCUUCCACCAGAGACGGGAAACACCCUGUGAGACAUAAGAGCCACAAGAAGGAAGGAAGGGGCCUCGUCCCGUGUAACUUCAGGGACCAGGGCUGCCCAACAGCCUUUGUUGCCGGGGAGACUAUCAGGAGUCGGCAAGCAGGCCAUCUGUGUUGGAACCCGGGCCCACCCAUUCACUUCUGUAUCGGUGAUGUUGGCUUUCACACUACAAUGAGUGAGUAAUUGACAGAGACCACAUGAGCCAGAAAGCCAAAAAGCCAAAAAUAUUUACUAUCUAGGCCUCUCCAGAGAACAUGUGCCAGCCCCUGUUCUGGACCUACAACUGUUUUACUCGGAUUUAACAUUUUCAUUACGUUAAUAAAUCUUUUAUCUUUUAA